UUUUUUUUUUUUUUUACAUUCCAGACAUUGACCUGGCUCCUGGUCCCUCCUCCCACAGUUCCUCAUCCUGUUCCCCCUACCCUGUGCCUGUGAGAAGGUGCUCCCCCAUCCCUGCCCUCCACACUUCAGCAGCCCCCUUCCCUGGUGCCUCAAAUCUCUACAGGAUUAAGCACAUCCUGUCCAACUGAGGCCAGGCAAGGCAGUCAUCUGGUGAUGCAAUAUUUCUGUGUUUUUAGAUAUGGUGCCUUAAUGCCUUGACGAUGUUGUUUUCUUUAUUAGCCUUUCUGGGAGUGUGUGUUGGGGGGAGACAUCACGGAUGAGGAUUCAGCUUAACAAAAUUUAAAGUGUUGAAAUAAAGACAAGCAAGGAAUGGAUUUUAAAAGUUUGGGGGGGCACUCUUAAUUAUUUAUCUCAGUGUCUACAAGUCUCAGGCUCUGGGAUUCAUAGAUGUUUCAGUUUGAGUAAACCCAUGUAAAGCCAUUGAUAAUGUAUGUCCAAACCUUUGUAUCUACUGUCUUUAUUUAAUGUUCUUGUCAACUUAAGGGAGUUUCUAUCAAAAAUCAUGGUAACCAUGACAAAGUAAUUACAGAUAUUAGGAGAACAUGGAAAAUUAGAGUAGCCAUGGUGGUACUGCCUUUAAUCUCUGCAAAUGUCAGGCAGCUGCAGGCAGAUCAGUGUCCAUUCGAGGCUUUCCUCAUCUAUUUAGCGAGCGUGAAGCCAGUCCAGACUACAUGACUCUGUGACCCCAAAAUAAAAAGUAUAAUAAAAGAAAAUAUUUUAAUGGGGAACCAGUAUAAAUUAUAAAAGUUAUAGUAACUAUAAUGAAUAAAAUACUAAGGUUUAGAACCUAGCACGUAGAUAUGUUUGAGUAAUCAGAAUGCAGGUUAUUGCCAUUGCUUGAAUAAUUUUAAGAGGCAAGUUUUAUAUCCAGUCAACACAAGUGUAGGCAUUUGGUUCUCAUGUCAAAACCUCUCCUAGGGUUUUUUGUGCUUAAACGUGGUGUUAUUGUAUCAGUUUCUAUGGCAGUACUCUUCUCUACGGCUCAGUUCCAGAGUCAGACAAGGUGUCUAUCAGCAGAUGAAGAGAGUUAGACACAAUCAGUUACAACUCUUAUUCAAUUUUAAGAGGAAGGAAUCUACGUCAUUUUCUGGGAACUAGAUGCACCUGGAGAUCAUCAAUAUUAAGAUAAUUUGGACUCAGACAAAUUUUUGAAUAGUUUCUUUUCUGUUUCCUGUGUGGCCUGCAUACUCCGCAUAUUUUGCGCCGUGACUCUCGCUAGCUGUGCCGCUGCAGGCCGACUUGGUUUCAUUACCGUGUAGUUAUUCAUAUUGAGUAUGUGCACAACUGCACUGGACAUAAUUUCCCCUUAAUUGCCUCAUGGCUUCUAAGCAUAAGGGCCGACUAAACUUUAUGACUAUACUACUCUAUAGAAUUUUAAAAAAUUAUCUUGUUUUAAUUUUGUGGCUUUAUGAGUCGUUGCAUUAUUGUCUUUGCAUUUAAGACGAUACAUUUUUUUUAUUAGCUUACAUGUAGCAAACACAUAUUUACCAACUAUAGGUGAUACAAGCUGUUACCUUUUCUGUAUGUUUUCAGUUUUUCCACCAGGACUAUACAAUAUCUCUUUACUCAACCUCUUUGAUUACUCUUUUUAAGUAAUUUCAGUGGCAUGUUUCCAGUUCUUGGUUUUUAGCUUUAUAUGGAGUAUACAUUUUCACUGUAAUUCCCCCCCCCCCCACCCCCUUUCUUUUCCUUCCUUUGCGGUUGUUUGAGAGUUUCUCUGUGUAGCCUUAGCUGGUAAUUUCUUAAAUACCAAUUCAUUAUCUAUUUUACAAUAUGUUGUUAUUCCUGAAUAAAGAAUUUAAGAAUUCUAGGGCUAAGUUGUGUCUUGAGAUUGCCAUCUGAUUUGCCAAUCUCACUCUUGAAUGCUACCUUUUAUACGUGUCCUGCAUCUCUUGUAUCUUAGACUUCCUGACUCAUUUUUUAAGAAUUCAAUUUAUUUGAGAACCUGGGAGCAUGGCUUGCGUUUCAUUAUUAUUUCUUUAGAAUUAGAGAAAUCUGCUGUAAAUGUCGCAUAGUAGAGGCCCAAGUCUCAGCAUUUUCGCUGGCCAGGUAAGACUGCAGUUAUGGACAGAGUGAUUACCAGCUUAGGCUAUACUGCUGUCGUCUAGGUAUUCUACCUAGAUCGGGGCAUGCAUAUUUUUAUUACUGUUUUGAAAAGG
rnacentral:lncRNA from 1 species